rnacentral:rRNA from 1 species
UAGCGACAGGCUUAACACAUGCAAGUCGAGGGGCAGCGGGGGUAGCAAUACCCGCCGGCGACCGGCGCACGGGUGAGUAACGCGUAUGCAACUUACCUAUCAGAGGGGGAUAACCCGGCGAAAGUCGGACUAAUACCGCAUGAAGCAGGGGCCCCGCAUGGGGAUAUUUGCUAAAGAUUCAUCGCUGAUAGAUAGGCAUGCGUUCCAUUAGGCAGUUGGCGGGGUAACGGCCCACCAAACCGACGAUGGAUAGGGGUUCUGAGAGGAAGGUCCCCCACAUUGGUACUGAGACACGGACCAAACUCCUACGGGAGGCAGCAGUGAGGAAUAUUGGUCAAUGGCCGAGAGGCUGAACCAGCCAAGUCGCGUGAGGGAUGAAGGUUCUAUGGAUCGUAAACCUCUUUUAUAAGGGAAUAAAGUGCGGGACGUGUCCCGUUUUGUAUGUACCUUAUGAAUAAGGAUCGGCUAACUCCGUGCCAGCAGCCGCGGUAAUACGGAGGAUCCGAGCGUUAUCCGGAUUUAUUGGGUUUAAAGGGUGCGUAGGCGGCCUUUUAAGUCAGCGGUGAAAGUCUGUGGCUCAACCAUAGAAUUGCCGUUGAAACUGGGGGGCUUGAGUAUGUUUGAGGCAGGCGGGAUGCGUGGUGUAGCGGUGAAAUGCAUAGAUAUCACGCAGAACCCCGAUUGCGAAGGCAGCCUGCCAAGCCAUUACUGACGCUGAUGCACGAAAGCGUGGGGAUCAAACAGGAUUAGAUACCCUGGUAGUCCACGCAGUAAACGAUGAUCACUAGCUGUUUGCGAUACACUGUAAGCGGCACAGCGAAAGCGUUAAGUGAUCCACCUGGGGAGUACGCCGGCAACGGUGAAACUCAAAGGAAUUGACGGGGGCCCGCACAAGCGGAGGAACAUGUGGUUUAAUUCGAUGAUACGCGAGGAACCUUACCCGGGUUUGAACGCAUUCGGACCGAGGUGGAAACACCUUUUCUAGCAAUAGCCGUUUGCGAGGUGCUGCAUGGUUGUCGUCAGCUCGUGCCGUGAGGUGUCGGCUUAAGUGCCAUAACGAGCGCAACCCUUGCCACUAGUUACUAACAGGUAAAGCUGAGGACUCUGGUGGGACUGCCAGCGUAAGCUGCGAGGAAGGCGGGGAUGACGUCAAAUCAGCACGGCCCUUACAUCCGGGGCGACACACGUGUUACAAUGGCGUGGACAAAGGGAGGCCACCUGGCGACAGGGAGCGAAUCCCCAAACCACGUCUCAGUUCGGAUCGGAGUCUGCAACCCGACUCCGUGAAGCUGGAUUCGCUAGUAAUCGCGCAUCAGCCAUGGCGCGGUGAAUACGUUCCCGGGCCUUGUACACACCGCCCGUCAAGCCAUGGGAGCCGGGGGUACCUGAAGUCCGUAACCGAAAGGAUCGGCCUAGGGUAAAACUGGUGACUGGGGCUAAGUCGU